UACGGGGGGGGCAAGCGUUGUUCGGAAUUACUGGGCGUAAAGGGCGCGUAGGCGGGAUGGCAAGUCGGUCGUGAAAUCCCUCGGCUCAACCGAGGAACGUCGAUCGAUACUGCUGUUCUUGAGGAUUGCAGAGGAGAAUGGAAUUCCUGGUGUAGCGGUGAAAUGCGCAGAUAUCAGGAAGAACACCCGUGGCUAAGGCGGUUCUCUAGUACGGUACUGACGCUGAGACGCGAAAGCGUGGGGAGCGAACAGG
rnacentral:rRNA from 1 species